rnacentral:rRNA from 1 species
GAUGAACGCUGGCGGCGUGCCUAAUACAUGCAAGUCGAGCGAACAGACGAGGAGCUUGCUCCUCUGACGUUAGCGGCGGACGGGUGAGUAACACGUGGAUAACCUACCUAUAAGACUGGGAUAACUUCGGGAAACCGGAUCUAAUACCGGAUAAUAUAUUGAACCGCAUGGUUCAAUAGUGAAAGACGGUUUUGCUGUCACUUAUAGAUGGAUCCGCGCCGGAUUAGCUAGUUGGUAAGGUAACAGCUUACCAAGGCAACGAUGCGUAGCCGACCUGAGAGGGUGAUCGGCCACACUGGAACUGAGACACGGUCCAGACUCCUACGGGAGGCAGCAGUAGGGAAUCUUCCGCAAUGGGCGAAAGCCUGACGCAGCAACGCCGCGUGAGUGAUGAAGGUCUUCGGAUCGUAAAACUCUGUUAUUAGGGAAGAACACAUGUGUAAGUAACUAUGCACGUCUUGACGGUACCUAAUCAGAAAGCAACGGCUAACUACGUG